UUGGCGCCAGAACUCAGCCAUUCUGAGCCUUUGGCCCAGCUCUUUCCUCCUUCCAGCUGCUCCUGUGCUGGGGCCUCCCAUCUCUUGCUUUUUCUCUUUGGCGUUAACUGUUACUCAGCCCUGCACCCCAACAAAGAAAUGCACCCUGAAAGCCUGUGGCACUAAGAGCAGCUCAGAACACUUAUCACACCUUUCUCCUUGACCCUCACCUCUCUGGAAGAUUAGAAGCAGAAGAUUUAUUGGAUCAACUUCUCAGCUGUGGAAUCUGAGCAAACAGAAGGGAAGUGGCUGAGGGAGGCCUCAGACCAGCUGUAUCCCUGGACCAGAGGUCACAGCGCUGGCUAAGGAAACCUUCCAUGCAGGAGUGCUGUGAGCUGAGCAGUGCAUAAGAAAAGAGUGUUUGUGGGAAUCAGCAUUUUACCACCUGGCAGACCUGCCUGGGCUGUAGCAGAGCCUCCCCACUCAGUGGACAAGGGACAGGAGGGAUCAAAGGUUGAGGAAAGAUAUUAUUUCAAUCAAGAUAAUGAUUCUACUUCUUGAACGGAAAUGAGAUUUUUUUUCAUUGCCUCAUGGGGGUGCCACCAACAUCUGUCUCCGGGCUGGAACAGGUCAUGAACAAGUUAGAGGAUUUUCUUGUAACCUGAGAGAGAGUGUAAACAUGAAGGAGAACUGAAAGAAGGGAGCUUGCUUGCAAGAGAAAAACAUAUCUGCCAGGCCUCCACGAUUAUAAAAUAAGCUCAAUUUGGAAAAUGUACACUGGCAUUGAACAGAGCAUUCAAGACCGAACUUCAGAAGGUGUCUUCUCUUCCUGAACUGGACUGAAAGCUCCUCCAAAACAGAGCCAAU
rnacentral:lncRNA from 1 species